UACGGUCAAAUCACUUUGAAAAACCGGUUUCAGUACGAUCACCAAAGUUAAGCAACGUCGAGUCUGGUCAGUACCUAGAUGGGUGACCGUUUGGAAAUAACAGGUGCAG